AGAGUUUGAUCCUGGCUCAGAUUGAACGCUAGCGGGAUGCUUUACACAUGCAAGUCGAACGGCAGCACGAGAGAGCUUGCUCUCUUGGUGGCGAGUGGCGGACGGGUGAGUAAUAUAUCGGAACGUGCCCAGUAGCGGGGGAUAACUACUCGAAAGAGUGGCUAAUACCGCAUACGCCCUACGGGGGAAAGGGGGGGAUCGCAAGACCUCUCACUAUUGGAGCGGCCGAUAUCGGAUUAGCUAGUUGGUGGGGUAAAGGCUCACCAAGGCAACGAUCCGUAGCUGGUUUGAGAGGACGACCAGCCACACUGGGACUGAGACACGGCCCAGACUCCUACGGGAGGCAGCAGUGGGGAAUUUUGGACAAUGGGGGAAACCCUGAUCCAGCCAUCCCGCGUGUAUGAUGAAGGCCUUCGGGUUGUAAAGUACUUUUGGCAGAGAAGAAAAGGCAUCCCCUAAUACGGGAUGCUGCUGACGGUAUCUGCAGAAUAAGCACCGGCUAACUACGUGCCAGCAGCCGCGGUAAUACGUAGGGUGCAAGCGUUAAUCGGAAUUACUGGGCGUAAAGCGUGUGUAGGCGGUUCGGAAAGAAAGAUGUGAAAUCCCAGGGCUCAACCUUGGAACUGCAUUUUUAACUGCCGAGCUAGAGUAUGUCAGAGGGGGGUAGAAUUCCACGUGUAGCAGUGAAAUGCGUAGAUAUGUGGAGGAAUACCGAUGGCGAAGGCAGCCCCCUGGGAUAAUACUGACGCUCAGACACGAAAGCGUGGGGAGCAAACAGGAUUAGAUACCCUGGUAGUCCACGCCCUAAACGAUGUCAACUAGCUGUUGGGGCCGUUAGGCCUUAGUAGCGCAGCUAACGCGUGAAGUUGACCGCUUGGGGAGUACGGUCGCAAGAUUAAAACUCAAAUGAAUCGACGGGGACCCGCACAAGCGGUGGAUGAUGUGGAUUAAUUCGAUGCAACGCGAAAAACCUUACCUACCCUUGACAUGUCUGGAAUGCCGAAGAGAUUGGGCAGUGCUGGCAAGAGUACCGGAACACAGGUGCUGCAUGGCUGUCGUCAGCUCGUGUCGUGAGAAGCUGGGUUAAGUCCCGCAACGAGCGCAACCCUUGUCAUUAGUGUGCUACGCAAGAGCACUGUAAUGAGACUGCCGGUGACAACCCGGAGGAAGGUGGGGAUGACGUCAAGUCCUCAUGGCCCUUAUGGGUAGGGCUUCACACGUCAUACAAUGGUCGGGACAGAGGGUCGCCAACCCGCGAGGGGGAGCCAAUCUCAGAAACCCGAUCGUAGUCCGGAUCGCAGUCUGCAACUCGACUGCGUGAAGUCGGAAUCGCUAGUAAUCGCGGAUCAGAAUGUCGCGGUGAAUACGUUCCCGGGUCUUGCACA
rnacentral:rRNA from 1 species